CCUACGGGGGGCAGCAGUGGGGAAUAUUGCACAAUGGGCGCAAGCCUGAUGCAGCCAUGCCGCGUGUGUGAAGAAGGCCUUCGGGUUGUAAAGCACUUUCAGCGGGGAGGAAGGCGUUAAGGUUAAUAACCUUGGCGAUUGACGUUACCCGCAGAAGAAGCACCGGCUAACUCCGUGCCAGCAGCCGCGGUAAUACGGAGGGUGCAAGCGUUAAUCGGAAUUACUGGGCGUAAAGCGCACGCAGGCGGUCUGUCAAGUCGGAUGUGAAAUCCCCGGGCUCAACCUGGGAACUGCAUUCGAAACUGGCAGGCUAGAGUCUUGUAGAGGGGGGUAGAAUUCCAGGUGUAGCGGCGAAAUGCGUAGAGAUCUGGAGGAAUACCGGUGGCGAAGGCGGCCCCCUGGACAAAGACUGACGCUCAGGUGCGAAAGCGUGGGGAGCAAACAGGAUUAGAUACCCUAGUAGUC
rnacentral:rRNA from 1 species